rnacentral:tRNA from 1 species
AUCUGGUUAGCUCACUUGGUAGAGCCUGAGAUUCUUGAUCUCAGGGUUGUGAGUUUGAGCCCCACGUUGGAUG